AUUGAACGCUGGCGGCAGGCCUAACACAUGCAAGUCGAACGAGUGGCGGACGGGUGAGUAAUGUCUGGGAAACUGCCUGAUGGAGGGGGAUAACUACUGGAAACGGUAGCUAAUACAGCAUACCAUCAGAUGUGCCCAGAUGGGAUUGGCUGGUUGGUGGGGUAACGGCUCACCAAGGCGACGAUCCCUAGCUGGUCUGAGAGGCUGACCAGCCACCCUGGAACCUAGACACGGUCCAGUAUCCUAAGGGAGGAAGCAGUGGGGAAUAUUGCACAAUGGGCGCAAGCCUGAUGCAGCCAUGCCGCGUUUAUGAAGAAGGCCUUCGGGUUGUAAAGUACUUUCAGCGGGGAGGCGUUACCCGCAGAAGAAGCACCGGCUAACUCCGGGCCAGCAGCCGCGGUAAUAC
rnacentral:rRNA from 1 species